rnacentral:lncRNA from 1 species
ACAAAACCAAACUCGUUCGUUUACAGUGAAACUAUAAUCCCUUCGUCAAUAUGAUCCGAUCAAUUACGAGAUAUGGAAGUGUGUCAAUCCCAAAUAUCGAUCAUAUCUUUCACUCCACUAUUAAGUCAAUAUAAGUCGAAAACUCAUUUUCGACUUAUGAGUAUCAUUGGCCAAUGAUUUCGUUAUCGAUUUAAUUGAAUGAAACGCAGAUCAUAAUUUCCUACUAUCUAAGAGUGACAAAUCCUUUUAUUGGUUAAUCACAACCUUCAUAUGAUUCUUAAUAUACCCGAACGAUGUCGUAUUAGCAGCCCUUUGCAGAGCAACAUCCAACACCAUCAAAGUAUGAAUGAUGACCUCAAGUCAAAGGACCAAUUCCACUACCGAACGUUAGAGAUUAACCACUGACAUUCAGGUAGUUAUCCAUGUGGAAUUUCUUGGUGGGUCUCCAAUGUUUUGUUUUAUAACAAAAUAUCCACGUGUUUAUUUAAGUGUCACCGCACUUUAACUUGUGACAUCAGCUACUUACUUCACAAGUAAAAAAUGCCACACGUAAUGGUCUAUCCGUAAUAACGAUAUCUGUAUCUCGUUAUUACUUACGACCACGGACGAUUUAAGAUUUAAUCAUAUAUAAUUUGUAUCUCUCAAUCACAACUCCUUGUGAUUAACAAAUUACAAAAAUUUGAAUCUACAAACUCUAGUAUUUAUUUAAUUGUCUAUUAAUUAAAUAAUAUAUCUGCCAUUAAAUUGCAUUAAUUAUAUAUCAAAAGUAUUUAUGUCCAAAGUUGAUUGGACUUAGAGCAUAAUACUUACAAACUCCCACUUGCACUAGAUCCAAUCACUUAUGUAUUCAAUAUCAUAAGUAUACAUGACGAUCAUGUUUAUGCUACGACAACUUUUUGUCGGUGGAUCUGCAAUAUUGUUAAAUGUGGGAAUUUAUUCUUCUCUUUACGUCAUUUCUAUGUAUUGUCUCUCUAAUGAGAUUAUACUGCCCUAAUACAUGUUUGGAUCACUAAUAAGACCUUAGUUCUUUCGCUUUCGAGAUGGCUCUAUUGUUAUCACAAUACAAUGGUAUGUGAUCAACAAUAUCAGGAACUACUCCAAGUUCAUUUAUGAAUAUCUUGAUCCGUAUUGCAACUCUUUGCUAUUUCUGAAGUAAUCAUGUAUUAUGUUUCUACUAUUGAAUCAACGGUUGCUUCACGUUUGGAACCUUUCCAACAUUCCGCUUAAGAGUAAACCAAUUUCUCUAUAUGAAAUCUUCUCAAGAUUUCAUUUAUGUAAAUUGGGAUGAGUUAGGCAAUAUUUUAGAUCUAUCUCUAUAGAUCAAGUUGCUUCUCCCAUAUCGUUUAUGAAUAAAUCCUUUAACAACCAUUAUUUCAACGAUUGAAACACAGGGAUAUAAUUUUCUAUAAUAUUAGAAAUACGACAAUGCUCCCACUAUCUUCUUGUAAAUACACAAUUCGUCUUCAAAUUUGAUAAAAUCAAACACUUUGACUUUUUCAUCAAAUCGAAGAUUUCAGCUUCAAGAAACUUCUAUUAACCUAUAGUCACGGUAUGCAACUGUUGCAAGUAAAACCCGAAUAUGCUUCAACAAGGCUACAGGAGAAAGGUCUCACCAAGGUCAACACUUAACCUAUGUUUUGUAUAUAUUUCCAUCCAUAUCGACCUUUUCCUUGUAAACUAUUUACAAAAACUUACGAGUUUUAUUCCAUCAGGAGGCCUGACCAAGGUCCAAACCUUGUUCACAUACGUCGAGUUCAUCUCGAGUUUCAUGGCCUCUUGGUGUCUCUUUUAAUUCAACACUUGACUUUAUUUUGGUGCAACUAGCAGGUUCAUUAUCCUGAAUCAGUAAUACCUGAUUAGUAAUCAAGGAUUCGCACCUUCUUGAAGGUCAAAUGAUCCUACUAGAUUCACAUAGAGCUAACAUGUCCUCAGGAGUCUUUACUUCCUGAUCAAGAGUAUGUCCCAUAUUGGAUAUGGGAUCAAACUCGGAUUUAUCUACUUGAUUAACUAUAUCCGUAGACUCUUGACCUCUUUCAAGUUCUAUUUUACUCCCACUGUCCUCCCCUAGAGUAAAUAUUUUCUCUAAGAAGAGGAUAUGUCGUGAGAUGAAGACUUUCUUCAUGAUAAUAGAGUUUAUACUCAAAUGCCUGCUUUGAAUAUCCCCGCAAAUACGUAUUUAUCAAAUUUAGCGUCAAACUUAUCCGAUUCAAGGCGCUUCAAAUAAGCGUCAUGGCCCCAAGCUUUCAUAUAAGAUAAAUUGGGACUAUUGCCUUUCCAUAACUCGUAUGGAGUUCUGUUAACCAAUUUAGAUGAGACAUGAUUUAGUAUGUUGCACACUGCAAUCAAUGCAUGACCCCAAAAUAAUUUUGGGAGAUCUGUAUGGCUUGUUAUUAAUCAUAUUAUAUCUAAUAGUUAACAAUUCCUCCUUUUAGAUACACCACUGUGUUGCAGUGUAUAUGGAGGAAUCUACUGCAAGAGAAUCUCAUUCUCUCUUAGAUAAUCCAUAUUUUAUCUUUAAGAACUUCUCACUCGAUCGAAUCUUAAUAUGAGGGUAUCUUUACUAAUUUGUUUCUCUACUUCUAGUUUGAAUCCCUUGAACUUUUCAAGAGUUUCAUGUUCGAGUUUCAUCAAGUAUACAUGAUCAUUGAUGAAAUAAGAGAAACAUUACCCGACAUCAAUUGACAUGAAUCCAUAUGCAUUAGACCAGUAAUUAUGCUGACCUUUCUUCUUUUGAAGUAAAAGAAGAUUUGAUCAUUGUGCCAGCCAUGCAUAAUUUGUACUUGUCAAAAUCAAUUAAUCCCGAGUAUAAUCUUUAUGUAACAUUGGAAUUACAUUUCAUCUAUAUGACAAAAUCUGGCAUGCCAGAUUUUGGUAAUAAUUAGAUUAUCGCAUUUAUGCCUUAUAAUUUCUAUACUCAUUAUAGAAUCCUUAGUAUUAAAGAAUAUAAACGUCGUUUGUUAUUUACCAUAGUCAUUAGGAUCUUUAUCAAGAUAAACAAGAACAACAAUUGUCUUUAACAUUAAAAUAUUCAUAUACGAACAUGAAAUUCAUUUUAAUGUUCCAGCUAUGGUUGGUAUAAAGCGGCAUUUCUCUAAUUCCAAUACUAAACCAAAAGCAAUGGCUAGAAGUAUAUUCCUACAGGCAAUGCAGCAACCUUUGCUCAUCUCCAACGUGUAGGUCAACUUCUCCCUUUCGCAGUGGUCUACUUCUAUUUAGUUUCUCCAUAUUUGUAUAAAUAUGAGAUUUACAUCUGGUAUCAAAUACCUAAGAAACUCAUGAAGUAGACGUAAGCCACACUAUAUUCCUUCCAAUGACCUUUCAUUCUAUAAUGAAAUCAAGAGUCAAUAGAUUUCGUAUUGUCCUUCGCUUAGACUGUCUUAACCAAAUUGGGUGCUUUCCCAAAAUCCCUUUAGACUUCCUCUUAAUACCGUUAGAGGAAUCAAUGGCUUGCCCACUUCUAACUUUGUUAUUGGGCAUAACAGUCCUAAGCAUGUUAAGCAACUUAAUGAGUAUGCAUUCGAGCUUAUUCAUAUCAGAAUUCAUAAUUAGUAUUAAUAACUCUAUGACAUGGAUUCCAGAGCUAAGUUAAUACUUAGUUCAUAGCUAAUGAUUGAACUCAAUUGAGACACUUCUCAUGUCAAUCAUUUUCAGUACAUGAGGAUUGACUGAAGAUUUUUUUGUCACUUUGCAUCGGUAUAGUUGUUUAGAAGUCUCAUAUCCUUCCACACAUGAUCAGGGGCGGAGCUAGGGGGGUUUUGUAGGGGCAAUUGACCCUCUAGAUUUUGGGGAAAAAAAAUUUGCUUAGCUUUUUUUUAUUAGCUUUUUUUAUUAGAAGAUACCCUAUAAAUUUUAUUUUUGACUCCCUAACCCAAGUCGUCUGGUCCGUCCCUGCACAUGAUUAUUAUCAUACAACUCUUUGAAAUGAAAAAUCAUGUGUUAGCAUGUUAGUAUCUAUAUUUUCAUGUUGCUUCUAUAAUUAUGUGAAAUAGUUGCAAGUAUCACAUACGUUACAGUACUAUUGUCAUCGUUGCGUUUAUUACGGUAGUCACCUCUUCUUUAAUCCAGCAGGUGUCUCUGGAAAGGGCUACUCAAGGACGUGACCAAUUUUCUCAUGUAUGAGAACAACUCUCAAAUUGCGGUGUCAAUUAAGAAAAUCUUGUUUGGUUGUUGGCAUCUAGUAUGCCAUUCAAAACAUAUGGUUACUUAAGAUUCAAUGUAAAUGACGAAAAGAAAAUGAAUAAUAUAUAAAAUGCAUCAAUUAAUUUAACAUGGACUUUUAUUAAAUUAAUUAUGCUCCCACUAUUUAACUAAAAUUUAUGACCCUUUUACAUAAAUUUAUGGAGUCCAUACUUGACUCUCAGUUGGCUGGGAUUCCAUCUAUUAUAUUAAGACCUUGAGUGUACUCAACAAGCCUUAAUAUAACAUUUGGGUAGAUAGUAUUAUCAAUUAUAUUUCCAUACAACUCCCAGAUCAUUAAGCUGACAACUCUUUAUCUUCACACAUCUUAUGUAUUAGCUUAACAUGCCUCUAAAAUUUAUCUCCUUGAGUGUACUCAACAAAAAAUAAAUUUUAGUUAAGUCAAAUCCGUCAUUCAAAAAUAUCAAAUAUUUCAUAGUGUCAAAUAUAUCCUUAAUAGACUAGCCUUGAGUGUACUCAACAAGUUGAGACGAUUUGGGAUUUUGGUUUUUCACUAUAAUGAUGGAAAGCGAUUAUAAAUGUGACUUAAUAUUUUAUGGAGGGAUUUUGCACUCAAAUGUCUCAUUGUAACAAACAUAUAUAUUAUAUUAUACAUCUACCAUGCAAAUAAAGAUAUAUAACAUAAUAUAAUAGUGUGGACGAUUAUGGAUUUUACUAUCUAGUCUUCCCGAGCCAUAAGGAAGACUAGUUGGUCAAUUCCUAAGGGGUAUUACGUUGAUCAGUAUCAAUGCACCAUCUACAUGAUCUCCUCCUCUUCUUGUUUCUUCAAUUAGUCCAGUUGCAACAUGUAUCCUAUACUAGUUGGCACGCAGGCCUAAAUGAAAUUGGACUCGCAGACCCAUAACAACAAUAAUAAUAACAGACUUGUAGGUCCAAAAUGAUCAAAAGCUCACAGCCCACAAUAAUAAUGGGUUGCAGGCCCACAAAACAACAAAAAAAAAUCAACAAUUCAACAGAUCCAUAUGGUCGAGUCCAUAAUCAUCCACUAAUAAUGCAUUUAUCACAUAAAUGUAUUCUUAUAUAAUAUCUAAUAUUAUAUACAAACAUGUUUCAAGUUUCUAGCAAUUAAGGUCGUCUAAACUCUUUUAGACAAAUGGAUUGGAACAAUUAAACAAUUAAUUAAUCAUAUUAAUCAAUUAAUUUAAUUAGCUGGCAUAUUUAAUUAAAAUCAAAUUUUAAUUAAAUAUUAAAAUUAGAGUCCCACUCUAAUUCCACAAUUAUAGGACGGGCUAUUCAAUUAAAAUCACAUUUAGGUUAAAUAUCAAAUUAGAGCCCGACUCUAAUUUCAUAAUUUAAGGCGGUUGAAUUUAAUUAAAAUCAAAUUUCAAUUAAAUAACAAAAUUAGAGUCUAACUCUAAUUCCAAGAUUUUAGGGCAAAUUUAUUUAAUCAGAAUCAUAUUUUAAUUAAAUAUCAAAUUAGAGUCCAACUCUAAUUCCAAGAAGAAAUUUAGGGCGAGACAAUUUAAUUAAAAUCAAAUUUUAAUUAAAUGUGAAAUUAGAAUUCAAUUCUAAUUACAAGAAUAUAUUGGGUGAAUAAUUAAUUAAAAUCAAAUUUUUAUUAUGUAUUAAAUUAGAGUCCAACUCUAAUUUAAAUUGAAUUAAGAUUUUAAUUUAGGAUAAAACUCCUAAAUAAAAUAAAAUUCAAUUAGGGGUCAAAAUUUAUUAUUUAAGUUAAAAUCCAAUUUUAACGAAAAUGUAAAAAUCAUUAAUUUUAAAUAAAAUUUUAAAUUUGGGUCAAAAUUAAAAUUAUAGCUCAAACCUAUUCAAAAUAUCAUUUUAAAACAAUUUUAAAAUUAGGAUUCAAAACCAUUUUAGAAAUUGCAAUUUGACCCAAUUAAAAUUUAUUAACAGGGCCCUCAAAUAUUGAAAUUGCAUAAGAGCCCCUCUAUUUAAAAUUCACAUACUGACCCCCGAUUUUAAUUGCAAGUAGGGGGCUUGCAAUUUCACAAAUUGCACAAGAACCCUCCGCCUCCAACUCUUUUCACCCGACAACUGAAAAACACUAAAUUUUUUUUUCUUGUCUUCUUCUCCAGGCCCUGGCAUAUACCAAGCAAGACUCACCGCUGUCUAAAGGUGAUGGGCUCCUCCCACACCUAGCAGUGCGAAGGCGCUGCUGAAACAGCAUCUCCACGCUGCUUCAGCAGUGGCGUGAUGCUGCUGCCAGCAGCUGCCGCGCGCAGUGGUCACGAGCGGCUCGCCGUGUCCGCCACCGCCAUUUUUUUUGUUCCAAUCCAAAAUAAUCCAGUAUUCAAAAACAGAUUUUUUUCUCUCUUUUCUUUAAAUUAAUCCGAAAAUCAAAUUUUCCAAUUGCUAGAAACAAGAAAAAUAUGUACAAUCAACAUUUGAUUAUUCAAUCAUGCAAAUCAAUUCCUAACAAACACAAAGUAGACUCUAAUACCACUGUAGGGAAUCUACUUAACAUGCGCAGUGAAAAUUAAAAUAAUUUUCGAUUUCUGCCAGGAAUCUCUUUGUGUUUAGAUAGAAAUUAUGAAAAGAUUGUACUUUUCCAGAUCUGCAAACUUAUUUGUUAUUCUUUUUGUUCCAGCAAUCUUGAUUCGCCAUCUACAGCUGUCCAAUUGUCCAACCCUCAACGAUGAUCCACACAAAGAACAGAUAGCUACCAGGGUUUUCUCCUCUUGUGCUAGCAAGAAAUUAUAAGAAAAACCAUGUGAAUUGAAAACCCUAGCCAUGUAUUUAUAUAAGCCCAAAUGGGCAUGGCCUGGUCCAGUCCAAUAUUUAAUUAAAUUCAGUCCUUGAAUUAAUUAAUCCAAUUAAUUAAUUCGGGCCUAUAAAUAACCAACCCAAUUAAUUAAUUUAUCCAACGAUUGUUAAAUUAAUUAAUUGACAAAUUGCAAUCUUCCAAUUCUCUUUUGUGUGCGACACAUCAAGUUCCCGAUCACGAUGCCUAACGACGUGAAAUAUUAUUUUCAUCUAAUCAAAAUUGAUAAAUUAAAAUACCUUUUUAAUUUAUCAUGUGGUAUGACAAAAUCAAACUCGUUCAUUUAUCGUGAAAUUAUAAUCCUUUCGUCAAUAUGAUCCGAUCAAUUACAAGAUAUGAAAGUGUAUCAAUCCCAAAUAUCGAUCAUAUCUUUCACUCCACUAUUAGGUCAAUAUAAGUCGAAAACUCCUUUUCGACUUAUGAGUACACCUUGGCCAAUGAUUUCGUUAUCGACUUAAUUGAAUGAAACGCAGAUCAUAAUCUCCUACUAUCUAAGAGUGACGA